rnacentral:lncRNA from 1 species
UACAAUUAAACUAAUUUACACAAAGUUUCUUGAAAAGAAUUUAUACAUACAUAAAUACAUAAUUAUGCUAAGAAUUAAAGAACCAUGCAUGUCUAUCUCUUAAUUAGCUAGCGAGCUAUAUUUGGACCAAAUUAAUCAAUCAAUGAACUCGGGAAUAAGAUUGGCCAUGCAUGCACAUGUUACCAGUUACCACUACCCAAUCAAUAAACAACAACAACAUGGUAAUCUAGCUCCUUUCAAAACAAAAGGAAAAAUGAAGUCACAACAACAGGAAGGUGAUUAAUGGAUUAGCUAGCCCCUGCAUUCUUUGGUGGCCGCGCAGCCGUCAUUGUACUUGUUGGCCUGGUCUUCCUCGUGGGUCAGCCCGUUGUGCCCCCCCACCUCGUCCGCCCCCAACGCGCCGUAGGUGAUCGUGCUGCGGAGGGCGUCUGCACGGUGCGCCAGCAGCAGCACCGCCGCCAACGCCACCACCAAUAGCACCUGGCCCGCUGCCAUCACCGGCGACGCCUCCUUCCUACGGCACGCCAUUCUCUCUUCUUGUGGUACUGCUUGUUGUCUUCUCACCAAUAUGGCGUGUUUCUCUUGUUGUUAAUUGUUUUUUUUGUGUGUGUGAUGUAUGUGUGUGGAGCUUUGAUCUGCCGGCCUAAAGUUUGACAGGCUGCAAGCCGG